UAACCUUGAAUGUUGUUGUUGAAAGUAAUGUGGCUUGAAUCGAUUUAAUACCGUUGUUCCCAAGCAAGAAGAAUGGAAACCUGAAAAAGAGAAGAAAAGUAAGAAAAAAUAACAAAAAAUAGAAAAAAACUAAAAAGAUAUUAGAAAGAGAUUUGAGAGAAAAUGAGAAGAAAAAUGAAAGGGAAAAGUGUUUGGGGGGU
rnacentral:lncRNA from 1 species